rnacentral:tRNA from 1 species
GUCAGGGUGGCUGAGUGGUCUAAAGUGCCAGACUCAAGUUCUGGUCUCUGAAUAGAGGCAUGGGUUUGAAUUCCAUUCCUGACA